GUUGCGGUGGCCGAGUGGUUAAGGCGUUGGACUAGAAAUCCAAUGGGAUCUUCCCGCGCAG
rnacentral:tRNA from 1 species